rnacentral:lncRNA from 1 species
CUGUUUCUGACUUUAUUAAUCUCAGGAGGUCUCUCUUCUUUUUGCUCUGCUGCUUCAAGCCUUUGGCAUCCAGUGCCUUGUACUUAAUGAAAGUUUGCAACACUCUGAGCAACUGUUCUCAGUUCUUCUGCCUUAUUUCUGGCCUCCGUUGCAACUGUUUUGACCUAGUGAAGGCCUAGACUUUCUCAGACAGAUUUCUUUUAACUCUUCUGCCCUGACUCCAGUCUUCACUGGGAUGCUGCCUUGCACUUAGGGAAGGUUCACAUGCCUCAAGGAUCUCUCUCUCUCAGAUUUCUUGACUUUCCCUCAGUCUUCAGUAUAGUCCUCCUCUGUGCCUGGUGAAGACCUGUGGUAAAGUGCUGGCAGAGCUGCCGGCUUCCCCUUGAAGGAAUAGGAGUAGACCUGCUGAACUAUCACAUGAGAGAAGAGGCCCAAAAGCUUGCACACUACAGUCAAGCUGGCCCUUAAAGAGAUGGACCUAGAAGAUGCUGAGCCAGAUGUACUCAAUUACUUCUCCAAAAUUCAUCAAUUAGAACUGCUUCUUGCUGCCGCCAUAUGAAGAAGGACGUGUUCGCUUCCCCUUCCUCCAUGAUUGUAAGUUUCCUGAGACCUCGCCAGCCAUGCUGAACUGAAUACAACAUGUUUAAGACCACAGAACAUCUGCAUAGGCUGUAAAUUUCGUUGAAUGAUGGAUGCAAAGAUGGAAGACAGAUGGAUAGAGGAAAAGACAGAAUCAGAUACUGGAUGAGUUAGUACUGCUGCCUGUGCUUCAGAGCUGUCUUAUUACCACAAGGCCGGCAAGCAUCAAUGUCCCCACAUCCCCCUCUGCCUCCCCCUGAAAUGUACCGAUUUAUAUGAAAAUUAAGAUUACAAAUUAAAGCCUGGCUAUCCUGGAGUUUUCCAGUUCAUCAGCCAUCCAAUAAAAAUGAUGUCAAGCCUGUAUGCAUAAUUCCCGGAAGAUUACUUUCGUCCUUACAGCUAAGCCCUGUCCCUGAUAUGAAAGAUCUCUAUCCACUUUUAUUGAAAUAAAGAACUAACAUCAUAAUCCCAAUAUUGAGGUAUAAUCUUCAUUAUCUCCUGACCCUCUUGAGGUUCCCCCAAUCUAUAUUACUUCAGAUUUGGUUUAUGUGUAAUCCUUAUGUAUUUACUUUUAUUGAGAUAGGAUUAAAAACUAAAAAAAAAGCUUCAAAAAAUCCUUAUGAUCUCAUGAUUGAGUUUCAUUUCACCAACAAUCAACUAAUGUGUUAGACUGAGUUUUUUUUUAAGUGCUUCUUAUAGUUAUAUAGUCCAAGCUUGAAAAGGCAUUAAUUGGUCCCAUGUGUUUCCUGUUUCAUUACAUGAAUUAUUUCCAAUUCAACUUGGUUUGUGAAAUAAUGGCAUCAUCUUCUUUUCCUAUUAGAAAAGGUGUGGGAGGGGGAUGUAUGAAAAGAUAAGCAUACACAUAAAAUAAUCCAAAGUAACUUAAAUCUCUUUUCUUAGGAAGUUUUGAUUCAUACCUAUAGUUAAUUACUGGUAAACCACAAUCUACCAACCUUUUCUUUCCCCCAGAGCCUUAAUAGCCUCUGGCUAUGCCUCGGGCUGUUAACUACCAAACUAGUCAUUAAUGCUGGUCAAGAUGAUUUCUUGGAGAUUAUUGCUCAUUUAUUUUUUUAACAGACAAAACAGAAUUUGCUUUGCACAUGGACUAAAAUAAUACUUCAGCCAUUUUUUUCCUUUCAAAAACAUAAACACUGAUGAAAAUCACAUUGUACUGUGGUAUUUUCAAAGCAUUUCAUAUGUUAUUUUAGCUGUAUUUUCCAACUGAAAACUGGAUUUGCAAUGCUCAGGAUUUCCCUGGUAAUCAUCAUGUUUGCUUAUUGUUUGCUAUUAUAUUUGGUAAAACACAUCUUGAUUAAGAGAUUUGAUGUGUUCUCUAUUUACCUGUGCCUCUUAUUUUUACCUUUUGUCCAAGGAUAUGUUAGGAAGAUAUUUGUUUUUUUAGAAUUGAAAACAGGGUAUGGAAAUAGAAAUACUUCACUAUUGGCAUAAAACAGCACUGGAGUGUUUUCUUCUUAACGUAGUAUUUAUUGUUUGAAAAGAAUUCUUAUUCUAUUGGUGUUUUUUUUUUUUCUUUUUUUUUUUUUUUUUUUGAGAUGGAGUCUCGCUCUGUCGCCCAGGCUGGAAUGCAGUGGCACAAUCUCGGCUCACUGCAACCUCCAUCUCCCGGGUUCACGCCAUUCUUCUGCCUCAGCCCCUCCAGUAGCUGGGACUACAGGCGCCCGCCACCACGCCCGGCUAAUCUUUUGUAUUUUUAGUAAAGACGAGGUUUCACCGUGUUAGCCAGGGUGGUCUUGAUCUCCUGACCUCGUGAUCCGCCCACCUCAGCCUCCCAAAGUGCUGGGAUUACAGGCGUGAGCCACCGCACCCUGCCUAUUCUAUCGUUAUUGAUAUAAAAUGGGAUUCAUUAUAAUUUUUAUUGGCUCAAUUAUUCCUCAUCUGUGAACCACUCAUUUUCAUUCAUUCGUGCUUUUACUUGAGCACCUGCUAUUGCCUGGGCACAUUCAGAGACAAAUUAGAGAAUGGAGAAAAAACUGGAAAGACAAAAACAAUCUAUGAUCACUCAGUCAUCUUUCUGCCAAAAAAUAAUAUUCAAACAUAAAAACACGUAUUGGAAUGAUUAGGCUUAUUAAAAUGUUUACUCAACAACUAAAAAGGAAGUGGAUGAAACAAUAUUUUGGUACCCUUAAUAUUUUCUGGUUAUCAGUUUAUUUCUGUGAAUUUCCUUAUUUUACUCUCGCAACAACUCUACAGUUCCUUAAAGCAACCUUAUACUUACACCUAUUUUGUGGAUGUGGAAAUUAAGACUUUAGAAUUGCUGAAGAUAUAGAAGAAACAAGAAGGUACUGGAAGAAAAAUGCAGAAAAGAAAGCUUCAGGGGUUCAAAUACAACAAUGCUCGUUUACUUAGCACCUUAAUUCCCGCACUUGCUUAUAGACAGAAAAUGCCUCCUUCCUUUCUUUUGAAAGCUGUGGCUCAAGAUGGCAGGACACCCCACAGAGUCCCAGUUUAGAUCUUGAAACAGGUAGAGUAAGAAUGGUUUUGGUUAGGUAGGUUUAACCUACCAACUGGAGGUUUAUUUGAAUUACAUCUAAAUAUUAUUUAUAGGAGCAAGUCUGCCAGUUAUUAAUAAUUUAUGAAAGUUGCUUAUUACCAGCUAUAAUGUAGGUUUUAUUGACCGAUAGAUUUAACUAUGGGAAGAAGUAGCAGAAAGAGAAAAGGAAGUGAAAAGGUGAUAUGGGAGUGUGGCUUAUUUUGAAAGAAUUCUAGUUUUGGCCAGGGUGUAUAAUGUAAGCUAGAAAAUAAUAAUACUGAGCACCAGGGAUGAGUGAAGAAUUCAUUUAUGUCUUUGGCUUAGUCCAGCGCUAUUUGACUUAAGACAGUGUGUAUGGUGUCCUGGAAAGGUUUAUAAUUUAUAAAGCUUUGAAUUCUCAGGGAUAAGCCAUGAAUUACAGGGUGAUUUCAAAAGCUUUACAUUCUAAGAUAAGCCACUAUUAUGCUUUUUCCUCAUUAAAGACAGGAGCUUCUGUUUUUUAGCAAAACUGACCCAAAUGUCUUUUAAUAAGAAUUGUACUGGCAUGCAAAAAUUUAAACUAUAAAUACAGUCUGUUUUCAUUAUUCAGGGUACCCAAUUAUUAUAACAACUACUUUACAUUAUGAAAAUAAAAUUCAAGUCAGUAAUAAAAAAUACUUUUUUUCUUGAAC